CCUACGGGCGGCAGCAGUGGGGAAUAUUGGGCAAUGGGCGCAAGCCUGACCCAGCAACGCCGCGUGAAGGAAGAAGGCUUUCGGGUUGUAAACUUCUUUUGUCAGGGACGAAGCAAGUGACGGUACCUGACGAAUAAGCCACGGCUAACUACGUGCCAGCAGCCGCGGUAAUACGUAGGUGGCAAGCGUUAUCCGGAUUUAUUGGGUGUAAAGGGCGUGUAGGCGGGAAUGCAAGUCAGAUGUGAAAACUAUGGGCUCAACCCAUAGCCUGCAUUUGAAACUGUAUUUCUUGAGUGCUGGAGAGGCAGACGGAAUUCCUAGUGUAGCGGUGAAAUGCGUAGAUAUUAGGAGGAACACCAGUGGCGAAGGCGGUCUGCUGGACAGCAACUGACGCUGAGGCGCGAAAGCGUGGGGAGCAAACAGGAUUAGAUACCCGGGUAGUC
rnacentral:rRNA from 1 species